AUCUACUAACAUUAGUUUUCUGGUGGCAUCUUCACAUUUUAUAUAAUUGUUGAUGAAGCCACUGCUGACACUGAGAAUGUCACUGGAAAUUCCUGAGACAUUUUGGAGGAAAGAAAAGUGUUAUGUAAUUAUUUGCUCAAAAUAUAGCAACAGCAAGUAACUAAGGAGGCAGUAACUAUAUAACUUUCAGUUUUUAAAAAUUCACAGUCUACCAGUUUGAAGAAAUGCAUUCAUUAAAGGUUUCAUUAGACAAUUUAAAACUAUAAAUUAUACAGUAUUGCUCAUUUAGGAGACAAGAUGAAAAUAUCUACUCAGCAGAAAAAAAAUGAGAAUGUAGUAAAGAUGGCUGGAGCCUGAAUAUCCAUCUGUGACCACGAAGUAACCCUCAGAAUGGUGUUAGUGUAGGUGUAAGCAGCAUUACAGCAGCAGGCUCAGUCCCUGAGGCUUACACAGCGCAAAGUCUCCAUUAAGGCCUGGAUUUUCUUCCUUAAAAUGUUUAUGUGAGAAAGCAAUAAACUUCAAUCAUGGCUAAUGCA